CCUACGGGUGGCUGCAGUCGAGAAUCUUCGGCAAUGGGCGCAAGCCUGACCGAGCGACGCCGCGUGCGGGAUGAAGGCCUUCGGGUUGUAAACCGCUGUCGUAGGGGAGGAAUGGCCGGUGGGUAAUCUCACCGGUUUGACCUAUCCUAGGAGGAAGGACGGGCUAAGUUCGUGCCAGCAGCCGCGGUAAUACGAACCGUCCAAACGUUACUCGGAAUCACUGGGCUUAAAGGGUGCGUAGGCUGCUCGGAGGGUGGGAUGUGAAAUCCCCCAGCUCAACUGGGGAAUAGCGUCCCAAACCGCCGGGCUUGAGGGAGACAGAGGUCAGCGGAACUGAUGGUGGAGCGGUGAAAUGCGUUGAUAUCAUCAGGAACACCAGUGGCGAAGGCGGCUGACUGGGUCUUUCCUAACGCUGAGGCACGAAAGCUAGGGGAGCGAAC
rnacentral:rRNA from 1 species